GACGAACGCUGGCGGCGUGCUUAACACAUGCAAGUCGAACGGAAAGGCCCUGCUUUUGUGGGGUGCUCGAGUGGCGAACGGGUGAGUAACACGUGAGUAACCUGCCCUUGACUUUGGGAUAACUUCAGGAAACUGGGGCUAAUACCGGAUAGGAGCUCCUGCUGCAUGGUGGGGGUUGGAAAGUUUCGGCGGUUGGGGAUGGACUCGCGGCUUAUCAGCUUGUUGGUGGGGUAGUGGCUUACCAAGGCUUUGACGGGUAGCCGGCCUGAGAGGGUGACCGGCCACAUUGGGACUGAGAUACGGCCCAGACUCCUACGGGAGGCAGCAGUGGGGAAUAUUGCACAAUGGGCGGAAGCCUGAUGCAGCAACGCCGCGUGCGGGAUGACGGCCUUCGGGUUGUAAACCGCUUUCGCCUGUGACGAAGCGUGAGUGACGGUAAUGGGUAAAGAAGCACCGGCUAACUACGUGCCAGCAGCCGCGGUGAUACGUAGGGUGCGAGCGUUGUCCGGAUUUAUUGGGCGUAAAGGGCUCGUAGGUGGUUGAUCGCGUCGGAAGUGUAAUCUUGGGGCUUAACCCUGAGCGUGCUUUCGAUACGGGUUGACUUGAGGAAGGUAGGGGAGAAUGGAAUUCCUGGUGGAGCGGUGGAAUGCGCAGAUAUCAGGAGGAACACCAGUGGCGAAGGCGGUUCUCUGGGCCUUUCCUGACGCUGAGGAGCGAAAGCGUGGGGAGCGAACAGGCUUAGAUACCCUGGUAGUCCACGCUGUAAACGGUGGGUACUAGGUGUGGGGUCCAUUCCACGGGUUCCGUGCCGUAGCUAACGCUUUAAGUACCCCGCCUGGGGAGUACGGCCGCAAGGCUAAAACUCAAAGGAAUUGACGGGGCCCCGCACAAGCGGCGGAGCAUGCGGAUUAAUUCGAUGCAACGCGUAGAACCUUACCUGGGUUUGACAUGGAUCGGGAGUGCUCAGAGAUGGGUGUGCCUCUUUUGGGGUCGGUUCACAGGUGGUGCAUGCCUGUCGUCAGCUCGUGUCGUGAGAUGUUGGGUUAAGUCCCGCAACGAGCGCAACCCUUGUUCACUGUUGCCAGCACGUUAUGGUGGGGACUCAGUGGAGACCGCCGGGGUCAACUCGGAGGAGGGUGGGGAUGACGUCAAGUCCUCAUGCCCCUUAUGUCCAGGGCUUCACGCAUGCUACAAUGGCUGGUACAGAGAGUGGCGAGCCUGUGAGGGUGAGCGAAUCUCGGAAAGCCGGUCUCAGUUCGGAUUGGGGUCUGCAACUCGACCUCAUGAAGUCGGAGUCGCUAGUAAUCGCAGAUCAGCAACGCUGCGGUGAAUACGUUCCCGGGGCU
rnacentral:rRNA from 1 species